CCUACGGGAGGCAGCAGUGGGGAAUAUUGGACAAUGGGGGGAACCCUGAUCCAGCGACGCCGCGUGCGUGAAGAAGUAUCUCGGUAUGUAAAGCUUUAUCAGCAGGGAAGAAAAUGACGGUACUUGUCUUAGAAGCCCUGGCUAACCACGUGCCAGCAGGCGUGGUAAUAUGUAGAGGGCAAGCGUUAUCCGGAUUUACUGGGUGUAAAGGGAGCGUAGUCGGUGUAGCAAGUCUGAUGUGAAAGGUCGGGGCCCAACCCCGGGACUGCAUUGGAUACUGGUGAACUGGAGUACAGUAGAGGUAAGCGGAAUUCGUGGUGUAGCGGUGAAAUGAGUAGAUAUUAGGAAGAACACCAGUGGCGAAGGCGGCUUACUGGACGGUAACUGACGUUGAGGCUCGAAAGCGUGGGAAGCAAACAGGAUUAGAUACCCGUGUAGUC
rnacentral:rRNA from 1 species